GACGAACGCUGGCGGCGUGCUUAACACAUGCAAGUCGAACGGAAAGGCCCUGCUUUUGUGGGGUGCUCGAGUGGCGAACGGGUGAGUAACACGUGAGUAACCUGCCCUUGACUUUGGGAUAACUUCAGGAAACUGGGGCUAAUACCGGAUAGGAGCUCCUGCUGCAUGGUGGGGGUUGGAAAGUUUCGGCGGUUGGGGAUGGACUCGCGGCUUAUCAGCUUGUUGGUGGGGUAGUGGCUUACCAAGGCUUUGACGGGUAGCCGGCCUGAGAGGGUGACCGGCCACAUUGGGACUGCGAUACGGCCCAGAAUCCUACGGGAGGCAGAAGUGGGGAAUAUUGCACAAUGGGCGGAAGCCUGAUGCAGCAACGCCGCGUGCGGGAUGACGGCCUUCGGGUUGUAAACCGCUUUCGCCUGUGACGAAGCGUGAGUGACGGUAAUGGGUAAAGAAGCACCGGCUAACUACGUG
rnacentral:rRNA from 1 species